CAGUAGCCGCGGUAAUACGUAGGUGGCAAGCGUUGUCCGGAAUUAUUGGGCGUAAAGGGCUCGCAGGCGGUUUCCUAAGUCUGAUGUGAAAGCCCCCAGCUCAACCGGGGAGGGUCAUUGGAAACUGGGAAACUUGAGUGCAGAAGAGGAGAGUGGAAUUCCACGUGUAGCGGUGAAAUGCGUAGAGAUGUGGAGGAACACCAGUGGCGAAGGCGACUCUCUGGUCUGUAACUGACGCUGAGGAGCGAAAGCGUGGGGAGCGAACAGGAUUAGAGACCCCCGUAGUCCCUGUCUCUUAUAC
rnacentral:rRNA from 1 species